CACGUAGGGUGCAAGCGUUGUCCGGAAUUAUUGGGCGUAAAGAGCUCGUAGGCGGUCUGUCGCGUCGGCUGUGAAAACCCGGAGCUCAACUCCGGGCCUGCAGUCGAUACGGGCAGACUGGAGUCCGGCAGGGGAGACUGGAAUUCCUGGUGUAGCGGUGAAAUGCGCAGAUAUCAGGAGGAACACCGGUGGCGAAGGCGGGUCUCUGGGCCGAUACUGACGCUGAGGAGCGAAAGCGUGGGGAGCGAACAGG
rnacentral:rRNA from 1 species